ACGGCUCAGUAACACGUAGUCAAUCUACCCUAUGGACGGGAAUAACCUCGGGAAACUGAGAAUAAUGCCCGAUAGAACAUUAUGCCUGGAAUGGUUUAUGUUUCAAAUGAUUUAUCGCCAUAGGAUGGGACUGCGGCCUAUCAGUUUGUUGGUGAGGUAAUGGCCCACCAAGACUAUUACAGGUACGGGCUCUGAGAGGAGUGGCCCGGAGAUGGGUACUGAGACACGGACCCAGGCCCUAUGGGGCGCAGCAGGCGAGAAAACUUUGCAAUGUGCGAAAGCACGACAAGGUUAAUCCGAGUGAUUUCUGCUAAAGAAAUCUUUUGCUAGUCCUAGAAACACUAGUGAAUAAGGGGUGGGCAAGUUCUGGUGUCAGCCGCCGCGGUAAAACCAGCACCUCAAGUGGUCAGGAUGAUUAUUGGGCCUAAAGCAUCCGUAGCUCGUUUUGUAAGUUUUCGGUUAAAUCCAUACGCUUAACGUAUGGGCUGCCGGGAAUACUGCAUAACUAGGAAGUGGGAGAGGUAGACGGUACUCGGUAGGAAGGGGUAAAAUCCUUUGAUCUAUUGAUGACCACCUGUGGCGAAGGCGGUCUACCAGAACACGUUCGACGGUGAGGGAUGAAAGCUGGGGGAGCAAACCGGAUUAGAUACCCGGGUAGUCCCAGCUGUAAACUAUGCAAACUCAGUGAUGCAUUGGCUUGUGGCCAAUGCAGUGCUGCAGGGAAGCCGUUAAGUUUGCCGCCUGGGAAGUACGUACGCAAGUAUGAAACUUAAAGGAAUUGGCGGGGGAGCACA
rnacentral:rRNA from 2 species